CCGCCUCCGUAGCAUCCACGCCGAUGCCUGCCUGCCCGCCUCCACACCCUCGUCCCUGCCACCGCCGGCUGCCUAGCUCCUGAUGCCGCCCACCGUGGAGGUCCGUUCUCAUUCACUCUCUCUCUCUCUCUCAUUGCAGAUCUAGAUCGACUAGAGCUUCCCAGCAAAUGGGGGCAGCGGCGGCGGUGGCCCCUUCCCUCCCACGAUGAUGCCCCAUUCUGCUCACUCGAGCCCGGUAGUGGUGGCGGCAGGCCCCUCCCGUCCCACCUCAUGGCCACGUUGACAGCCAGCAGCGACUAAUCAUCCCCUAGGGAAGUGGUGGUGGCAACGCCCUCUUGCCCCUCCCUCGGUGUGGCGAGCACGGAGCUUAAUUGGUAGACGAUCCCGACCCCUCACUGCGGGCGCUCAUCGACCAGGUGCGCCAUGGGAAGGUGGAUGCCGCCCACGAGUGCUGCAUCGUCACACUCUCCCUCAUACGUAUGAGGUUCACCUUAACCCCAAUAUGCAGAGAAAAUUUGUGUAUUUUACAACGAAAUUGCAACAAGACGACUCCACAAAGAGUGACCGGCGAGGCUGCAGCCUGCAAUCCCCAGCAACCCAACCGCGAGGUGAACUUUAGUCCAAAGGCGCUAUUGCCUAGCUAUCCCUGCUAAAUGGCAUUAGACUAUCCGGAAAUCGUCGCGAAGCUUCAGACCCAGGUGCUCUUCCUAUCCAUGUAGUGGGUCCUUGGCUACUAAAGUUUCACAUUUUAGAAGGUGUAGAACACUUUGGUAUUGUACAGUUUAGUGAUUUCACUUAGCACUAGAGGAUGGUUGUGUAUUUUAAGCUUUCACCUAAUUUUUGGUGGCUUCCAUGGAUAUCAAGUGCUAGUUACAUAUGUGGAGACAAGCAUAGUUUGAUUUUUAAGUGACAUGAUUGCAUAUGAACUUGAGUUCGACAAUUGAUUAUGUCUGAUGUCAUCGUUUGUGUAUUA